AGUUAAGUAGGUAUGUUUCAUUGUUAAAAGUUGUAUGAUCUAUCUCAUGUUUGAAGAUAGUUCAUUUUUCAUAAUAAUUAAGUUGGUGUCGCCAGCGUUUGCCAUGUUAAAAGAUCUGAGUUUCCGAUAUUUUCUUACUACAAUAUUUGCUAAAAACGUAAAAGAAAAUCGGUUUUACAGUAAGCCUACUUAACAGUGUUCAUGGCAAUGUGAUUAGAAAAAUGGAGUUGUCUAGUCAAUGCAUUAAUAUUGUAGAAUUCGGUAUGCCUGAAAUUCACUAUAGACUCGUAUCACGAACCAAUAAAAACAUGUCUUUGCACACAAAAAAGGAUUCUGACAUUGGUUGUAGUUUUUUCCCUCCUAUGAGCUGUCGGGAAAAACCCACCAGCUUACAGCAACAUCCGCCACGUUUCCCACCUGUGAUUUAUCCGGAUUUCACCCCUCAAGAAGCGAACUCGGAUCGCCUCGGUAGGAGCGAGUGGUGUGACCACUAAUCAAUUUGGUUAAGAAAAGUUUUGUUCGACUCAACAGUUUAGUGUUUUCGUGUUUUACUUUUAAGAAAAAAACAAAGAUUGUGUUGGAUUCUUCCCCCUACUACUGACAUAAAUUAUUUUAUAAAUAAGAUUUCGAUACAAGGUUAAAUAUGCUCAAUUCUUACACUUUAUUGCAUUGCACAUUCUCCGCUUGGAUAUCCUUGUAGUUUCCACUUACUCCGCCACUAGCAGCACCUCCUGGAGUAGCUUGUAUAUGCUCUUUAUUAGCUAACUCUACACACGACUCUUCUGCAGUGUCACAUCACUCGGCACGUCCAUUUACGACUAUCAGUAUUGAAUUUGCAAUUGACACCAUUUUGCUUUAAAUCGUGUUAAAAAAUUGGCAGCAAUAUCAAGAGAAACUAGCACAUAUAUUAACAGUGAUGGAACAUACAAAUGCAAACACUGCAAUUGUUAUGGUGAAACUGCCCCGUGCAAGUUAAGGCAACACAGCUGGGUAUACUGAUUAUAAACAUGUUACAUUAUUUUUUGAAUGAUUACAAAAUAUAUUGGUUCCAGCAUAUAGCUGGAACAUAUCGCUGGAAGAGGUUGCUGGAACAUAUAAUUGGAGGUCAAACCAGCCAUGAUACCCUGUGCCAGUGUGCCCUUCAUUACACAUUAUACUUAUUACCAUUAUUCCAGUUGACACGUGGUCGGGUGGUAUGGGGGUUUAGAAGGCGGUGUUAAGCUAACAUGUUUUUAUUAAUAAAGGAAUGAGUUGCCAGACUGUAGUUAGCGUAGCACGUAGAAGGCGAGGCAUAGAGAUAUGAUAUUGGGAUAUGGAUUCUCCUUGGAAGGUUCGUUUGCUCCUUGUCAUUUUUUAUUUCAUUCCUUUUUAGCGAAUUUUAAAAACGUUCUAGGACAACGGCUUUUGUAUUGUUGGCGAUGAUGUCUUGUCUUAAAAAAACGGCUAUUGAAUUGUUGAAGUUAACUACUUCUCCAUGGCAAUAGCUACUGCGGGCGAAUAGUCCAUGGAUCAAGGGAACCGCCAGAACUUCUACUUUUAUAUUUUCAUUUAUAAUCUGAAUCUGUUUUUGAAAUACGUUAUUACAGUAGUAUCACUAACAAUAUAUAUGACAAGACAGGGAAUAUAUAUUUUUUUCAUGCCCAUGAAAACAUUUAGUAAAUGUAGACACUGUGUGUGUGUGUUGUGUAACUAUUUUAACAAUGUAGAUUUUUAUUCUCCGCAAAACCUUUUUUGUGACAGUCAAAUUUGGCUUUUACUAAUAGACACUGUGCUAGGGUUCACAAAUGUGUGCUGCAUCAAGUCGAUGUCAGGUGUUCAUUGGCUGUAGACACAUUCUCCUUUCUCUCCGGGUCGCACGUGAUUUGGUCAGUUGUUUUAUAGUCCUUCAGGAAGUGUCAAAUAAUAGUGGCUUGAUUAUUUUGCGGAUUCAUAGGGUAGCAGAGUAGACUUGAAGCGCACACACAACAUUGCCCUUGAUAUGUUCUUGACGACCCUAAGACAGGUCUAUAAAGAAUUGCUUACCCAAACACAUGCAACCCUCCAAAAAAUGUGAUUUUGUUAUCAAUGAGAACUUUAAAAAGCUUGAUUAUAUAAAGGUAAGCAUAGUCUAGCCUGAUCUGAAAUGAAUCCUCUGAAACUCAAUGAAUCUGAAAUGAAUCCUCUGAAACUCAAUGAAUCUGAAAUGAAUUGUGCUAGCCAAAGACAACGUUGUAAAUGUUUAAAAAAAAUGGCACAGUUUUACAAGAUUUUGUUAUUUUACAUUAUUUCGGUAAAUACACUUAAGGAAAAUUGUAAUUACUUGAACCGGGAAAUGUCAAGUUAUAAUUACAAGAUAUAGUUUCAAGCUAGGGUUGACUGGCUACUAGCACAGCAAAUUGGCGUACAAUUAUCUAGAUACUCUUUAACAUGGAGUGCCAUAUAUCGGCAGUGGGCGCAACUUACUGAGUCCAUUAAUCAUGUCAUGGUAUGAGAGCACACAGAAGUUCUGUAUCAAUACAUACUACUGAUUUGCACUUUAAUGAGAACCUGUUUGUAAACUUUGCAAAUUUCUUUAUUCCAUGUACAAAUGUUUGCUGAUCAUAUAUCAAUCUCGUUAAUAAACCUUGAAUUAAGGUGAUUAUGAAUGCGUAAUCGGACACAUUUAUGAAUGUUGAAUGUUUGUAAAUGUGUGUCGACACCUGGAGAUCUCCAGAGAACGACUGUUAUUGGCGCUUGUUCUCGCUUGUUUUCGCUUGUUCUCGCGAUCACGAGUGAUGCCGCCACCACAUCCUCGUUAGUUGGUGUCUCAUGAGCAUGCGCGACAAUAUCGCAGAUAUAACAAGCUUUCGUGAUAAAGGGAAGUCAGCCUGAGGAUGUAGAAAGUACCUUGUGAACUUUGCCGCAAUGAACUGAUGAAACAAGGGGGAGGGGGGAGAAAAAAAACCAGCGGAUUGUAUGGAAAUAAUCCCCAGCUCGUGCCCGAACAGUAGACGUGACUGUUGUUGGAAAAGAACACGCUGCUGACUGUGGUUGCGAUAAAGCUCGAGCCGAGUUUUCGAGACGUAUUCCUGCUAGCAUGUGACUAAAGGAGGGCGCAAACAAAACACCAACGGUGCAUUAACCGAGUCUCACCAGCAGUUAGAGCUGGCUGCUCCAUUUACAGCUGUGUUCACAGCUUAUCGGUUUUAAUUAGUACUUUGUUCGUCCACAAGAGUUACCGGCUGUUAAAUCGUAUAUAUACUACCAAAAAAGUGGCCAGCAAGAAAAAGCUAUUCGGUCCCACUAAUAUAUACUAUUUUUAUUUUAUGUGAUAAGUUAUAAAUUUUUAACAUGUUAUCAGGCCAUGUUCGCCUCAUGUAUGACACUGGACUGGGUCCCUGCAUAUGUGCCUUUAAGGGUAGAAUCCUGGUAGCCACCAGUUCGAUUCAAACAGUCGAGAUCUUAUCAAGACAAGGACCACCAGCAGGCGCAAGAGGCAUCGUCUCUUACGUGGAACACUGCCCCCACCGGGGCAUUCCUAUAUUAGGAGCAUGUCUUUGGCCCCCCUACCUCCAGCUCACAACCACCAGCUGUACUAGCCUUACACCCUACGUGGGCCGGCUCCAUCCACCGAAAUCCCAGCCCCAGACAACCAGAGCCUAGAUCAGAUGGGGGCAGUGAACCUCGCAUCAGAAUAAGAUACGCUUCUUCCAAUUGCAUUCGGGAGAUUGGUUAGUGCCUCGGCUAUGAUGAGAGGCUGAGGCUACCCAUCGCAGCAUCGUCAGCACCAGGAACCCCACUGCUGACUCAGCUAACCAGUCAAUUUACUAUGCUUUACACUCUUAGGUUCAGUACUGCUGGUGCCUACUCUUAUUCACCACAUUAUCUUGGGACUCCUAAAUCUCCCAGAAAACCCGUGCUCUAGUUGGGGCCUAUCCAACCUCUACUAACUUUCCAGGCUAUUGCCGGAGUGGUAUCCUGGCUAUGGCUUGUGAACCCUGCUCCAAGCAUUGGAGCACCUCCACCGAGUGAGAGACCUCCCCAACCUGAUACUGGGAUACUGUAGGAAAGCUCAGCGGGGAUCCGUUUACAAAGAAGGAUAAUCCCGCAUUACUACCAACUUCUAGUGACUAUUGGGUGGGUGGUGUACAGCUCGCUACCAACCGCCAGCCCCCAGAACACAGUGCACCUCGGCAGCCUCGGAUAGUUCCCCCGACCAUUUGUCAAAGCCGGUACAGCUCGGGUGACCCAACAGCAUUUCUCGACCUUUCCUAUACCAAUACCUUCGUCCCUUCACUGUGAGACAGGCUUUUGGGAUUCAGUGGUCACCAGGGCUCAGCAGUCGAACUCCCAGAAAGGUUCCUAUCACAUCUGCUGUUGCCCACAGAUUCCGUCCAUCCACCAUUAAUGUUACCCUUUCGGCAAAUGAGGAUGCCCGAGGCUGGGUUCCCCCGAUAUGGUCCUCUUUUGCAGAUCUUUCUAUCACUCAUCGGUGUCAAAUGGAGGCUGUGGUUUUCAGUAGUGUCGAAAAGCUAUAUCUUGGCAUCACUCCCUUUUCCAUGAGCGUUGGGUCCUGUCUUGGAUACUAGAGCUGGCAACAGCUCCGUCACCUUCCCACACAGGAGUCAGACCCACUCCCGACCAUAAAUUUUAACACAACUGUUUUCCAACCCGAAGAUCGGCAUCCUUCACCACUCCUUCCAAAUAUGCACCCUUUAGGGUAGAUCAGUUUUAAACUUCCAGAUAAAGUAAAUCAAGACUGAACUGUCAAGGGAUUACUCCCCCCUUUGAUCAGAGGCUAGGGUUACCAACCCAGCAUAGUCACCACCUUAGCCCCUGCCUCUCAUCUAACCAGACAGUUGGCUGUGUCCUUAGACCUUAUCAGCACUGCUGGCACCUAACAAUGGGUUUUUGACAUAACAUGGUAAUAUAUUUAGAUAUUUAUUAAAAAUUGUCAUGUUUAAGGAAUUCAAGAUUAAGGGGCCCGCCGAGUCAGCGGUUUGCUUGUGUCGGUGAGGCGGGAAUAGUUGGUGCUUCUAUUGCGGUAUCGCCUCUGAGAGCAAGGCUGUUUGUUGACUGGCGCGCGGGAAGCCUAAAGCCUAGUACACACUAGUAGACAUGUUGCGCGAUUUUUGUCUCUGAGACAUGUAUAGAGUUGUCUAUGUAGACAUGUCUAUAGACCAAUCGCCGUCUACGAGUCUGUUGCGAGGCAAAAAAUCGCAGGUCUAUGGUCUCCCGAUUGGAAUGGGAGACCAUAGACUGAAUACGACUGAUUGAAAAGUUCUUGUAUCAAGUAUAACAACAUUUUUGGUUCAACUAGUGUACUAAGAGCAUUCUGUAGUCUAUACAUAGGUUCAAAAAAGAGCAAUAGUAUUGUAAAACUGGAUAAUGGCCUCGCAGACCACUGGUACCAUUUGCGAUAUUGCCUGCUUAGAGAUUCUGAAGGUGUACAUGAGACUUUUGAAAGAGGAAACUCAGGGUGACAGCCAGUCGAAGAGAAGCUGGAAUAGUUUCUCUAAAUUUUGUAUUUUUCUUCAUUAUUAGUCCUCCAACCCUCAGAAGCAAAUCUUCAAAUUCAGCAGAUGUCAGCCGGGUAAAAUUUCGAAAAACCAUAGCGUCUUCCAGUCUUAAUUUAUUUAAUAACGUAUUACCGAACCUAGGUCCUUCUGCGAACACUUCAUGCGUCCACCAACGUUUACGUUUUCGCGUUCUUUCGCUUGCAAUUUAAUCAGGUACUCUUUCCGCACAAAACAAUGUCCUCCAUGAUGGACUGACGGAGACGAGACGAGAAAUUCAAAUCUUAGUGUGGAUGCUAGACGAGACGAAGGACGGUGCACAUAGACCAUAUCUCUAGACCGUCUAUAUACGGUCUGUAGACAAAUCGCGCAACAUGGUCUAUUAGUGUGUACUAGGCUAAGAUGUCCAUCAAGUUCUGUCCCUGCCCGAACUCGCCCGAAUAUAUUCACCUUCGGCCAACCUCGGGUUUAUUUAUAUAUAGGCCCUAUUUAUAUUUCUCUGUUUAUUUUAAUGUAGCUAUACUAACCUAACUAACCGUGUAUAGUGUUUUAAUGUAGCUAACCUAACCGACCACUUUUAAUAUUUGAAUUCAUUUUUCCUGCGAAAAAAUAAAACAAAACCCGAGGUUGACCGAAGGUGAAUAUUCGGGCGUGUUCGGGUAGGGACAGAACUUGAUGGACAUCUCCUCAGGCGCGCAGUCUUUUCGUUGUGCAUAGGGCAGCUAUAUUAUAUGGCGGAGAAAUUAAGACCAGGACGUAAUGCAAACCCCUUGUGUGCUUUCAAGAAUAUACCGGCAGGGCGAACACAGUUAUGUUUAUCGCCCUUCGUAGGGAUUACGUGUCAUCGGUAUGACACUUCACCACUAAAAGCGAGCAUGGAUUAUCUUUCGCCUCCUGGAAGACGCCUCAGCCACGACAGCCCCGUCAUACAUACGGCGGGAUGGUUUACCUGUGGACUCAUCAUAGCCGUCAUAUGCAGAAUCUUCGUCGGAAGGGAGUGGAAGAAAACGAGAAAGCAAGGUAUGAUUAUGCUUAAUUAUAUCUUAUUUAUUGUACUUAUAGUCUUUUAGGUUAUAUAUAUGUAUAUUUAUUGCUCAUUGAAUUUAUUUGGUUGCUUAUUUUAUAAUCCUGCAAUUAUUCACAUUCCUCAAAUAAACGUCAACAAAUGCAAACUAACCUAUAAAAGGUUUAAUGUGCUGUUAGAAAUAGUUUCUUGAUGACGUUGGAUGUUUGUAAAAACGUUUUGUUGUUAAAACUUAGGUAAUAUUCGAAUAAAAUCUAUAUACACUAUAUGAAACUAUUGAGACACAAACCUCCUUGUGGCUUUUAUUAUUUAAUAUAUAAAAUUAAUACGUGCAAUGUACGAAAAUGUAUCAUAUUUGAAAUCACUACUGUUAAUUUGUUUUAGGUGCGUGGGAUCUGAAGGGUUGGAGGUUUAAUACUUAGUCCAGCAAAUAAUACGAAGGUCGUCAAUGUAACAGACCGAGAAUGUAUCGCCUAUAGCCGGCGGUUACGAGACAGCUUGAACCCAUUUGAGCUGUGGGAAGUAGUUCAGAACUCUUUUUAUAAUGAAUUUGGAGCUGAGUGAAGUGCCGAGACCACAUCUUGAAGGUCAGCUAGCUGCUAAGUGGAGACUUCGCAACUCAACGGAUGAGAUACCUGCAGACCUUCGAAGAACAAGAGAGAGUGCGGAGACCAUAAGUAUAUUCGCAACAUUUACUUUCACUAAUUUUCUCAUUGUAGCCUAAAUACAUUUGACUGUAAAGUUUUUUUUUCCCAUAUCACGUAUCCAAGUUUAUCCCAUAAUCCUGGUGGUAUGAUCCUGUAAAUAUUGAUCUUGUGAUACAUGAUGCUUGGUUUUUUUUAACUUUGCAGGUCAAAAAAUCCUGAAUAAGACAAAAAUGUUAUAUAUCAUAAUGGAUAAUAAUAUUAAGUUAAAUAUAAAAGAACAUUUAUUUUGGGUUCAACUUUGUAGUUAUACAAGUUUUUGUUACACCCAGGAAGCUUUAAACAUACAAAAUGAAAACAGCAAGCAUCACCUACCAUAGGAUCAAAAUAUACAGAAUCAUUGGAUGAAAUUGGAUACGUGAUACAAACCUUUUACUGACAUUAAUUAUGGAGGAGCGGUUCACAUCUGAAAAAUAAUAAAAACUACAUUAAGUUCCCUACAUAAAGGGCAUUGUGGUAUUAAGUUGUUUACUAGUAGUUAACCAUUUACAUUGACUGGGUUAUAUUAGCUACAUAAAUACUGUAAAAUCAUGUGGACAUUAGUUCAUGUUACAUACAUUAAAAAUUCAGUUGGUUAUAUAAGGAACUUAACAAGAUUUUAUAAUAUUUUAACGAUAUAUAUAUUUCAUAUGUAGUUAACCUAACCUAAACAUCCAGGUACACUAUUUUAAAUGUAGCUAAUAUAAAAAUGGUUAACUAUCAGCAAGUAUUUAAUGUUUUGCUGUGCACCUGUAGAGAAUGAUAAGAAAAAUUGUCAGUAAUUAAGAAAAUGCAUUUUCAGAUUUUUGUUUGCUUUCUUUUCUGAAAUAGCCCUUUUCCUUGUAUCUAACCCAUUAAAAUGAAUAUGUAUUUUCAGCGAAAAGUUGUGCGAUAGUUGAUUAACCGUUUACUUACUUAAAAUGAUAGACAUUUGAUUCUGUUUCAUUCAGAAAGUAGUCUUUGAGGGCAGUCAAUUUGAAUUCUUGGCUAGUCUUCUUUACUUUCUUAGCGUAGUGUUUAUUUUGAAUUGCAAGUCAAGCACUUGAAACUGCUCAUAGUUACUGAAUAUAAAUCACUAAUUUUCCAAAUGUAUUUCAUGAUUUGCAUUGGUUAUGUUUGAGAUUCAUAACUUCCGAAGUAAUUUGAUGUUAUAAAUUGAAAUUAGUCUGGAAAUGGGGUAUUUAUUCAUAUUUUACAGACAUAAAUAUUUGUUGUUAACUGUUAUGAAUGAUUGCAGUGAAUACUAGGAUAGCCAUGAAUUUAUUCCACCAAUGUUAUUUUGUAGGUGAUUUCAGCCUUGUACCGAGCCACAUCUCCCGACUCCAGUAAGCAACGCUGAGGCCAGUUCUGCAGAGGAGCGGCAUACUCCGGUCCACUGCAGCGCCCGCGACCGUGUGGAGUCGUGAAGGACCGCCCUUUGACAGCAGGGCGCUCAGUAGCGUCUUGUGCUGUGUUCAGCAACAUGCUGAGCCACUACAGAAUAUUGGAACCAGAUGUGAUAGUUGGCGAACCAAUAGAAAGUCUUGUAGGUGAUGCUGGAGAACCUGCGGCCCAGGUUGUUGAGCAUCACUUUCAGAACUAAGCCAGGCAGUAUUUUACAUUACCACCUUUAAUGUUUUCCUGUUUUUAACCUCAUUUGACGCAGUGCAAAAAAUGACCAAUGAUUACAAAUUGCCUACAAUUUGUUACUUCCAUGUUUGUCAUGUACAUCGUACAUGGUGAAGAUAACACUUUCGUGUGGAAUACCAAAUCCAUAAUGGUAUUGGGAACACUAAUGCUGUAGUGCCUGAAUUUUUCGAUGACCUCUUCUAUUAAAAACUAUGUUGGCAGGCUGCCGACACUGGCCCAAUAGUGGUAGUCUUCAUGAAAAUGUUAGUAGGUGAUGCUAGCAUUACAGUUAAUAGAACUGUCUGUUAAAAAUAACAUUAUCUGUAACAUAUUUUAUUGUAAAUAACUGUUAAGUUUUUUCUUCUACUGUGAGAAACUUGCAGAAUUUUUAUAUUUACAUAUUUUAUCGAAAUGGCAGCUUGUAAAAAAGAACAUAUUUUCAACUGAUGGAAACCUAAACAUUUUAAAGUGUUUGGAUGAGCACAAAGGCACCAGAGUGUUAAUUGCUAAUAUGUUAGGGAUGCCUGUAACAAUUGUGAAUAAUCUUGAAAUCAUUGAAGGAACUGGUGCUCUGUGUGGUGGUUUUCCAAAGAAAAUCAUUCGUGCAGGUGUCUGAUGUUACUAUGAAUUGUUAAUUAAGGUAUGUACCUGUAUGUAUGCUUACCUAUACUCUAUACAGAAUGUAAAUAUGGGACUCUAAUGUUAAUUAUUCUAUUUAGAUGUGCUUCACAUUCUUAAUUAAUAUAAGAGUAUGGUAUGUUCAAUUAUUAUAAUAAUUAGUGGUGAUUUUUCGUUUUCGCGAAAUAGAUGCAAAAAUAUGCUAAAUUAUAUUUUUUCCGCUAUAAAAUGCGAAAUCUAGACUAGUCCGAGAUAAAUGCGAAAUCAAGGUAAAAAAACGUAGAUUCGUCUUCACUCUACACAAUUUAUUUACCGAUUGUAUUUCGUUUCAGUUCAGUAUCAAAAGAAACCAUCAUUUUAUGGCGUAUUGAGCACAAGUAUCAUAUUGUCACGUCAUUCACAACACUAUUGUUCGUAAAUAUUGAAUGAAGAAUGGCCAUCCGUGCCUCGCUAUUGUAAACAAAGCAAAGAACAACUAGCUGGAAGAUUGUCCAGAAUCUUGCAGAGUACAAGUUUUUAGGCCACCAUAUUGCGACAUCUCUGCUUCGCCGCGCCCAUUUUCUGUCUGUGUUUCACGUGAAAGCCUAGUUCUUGUGUUGUCUGUGGAAGUUGGUGUGUUUACAAAUACGUGCAUACUCGUGAAUGUGUUGUAUACUGUUAUUUCUCGUGGUAAAAAUGGGACGAAAUGUAAUUUCCAUUCGCGAUCGCAUAAAUGAAUACAAAAGUGAACAGUUCUAUGAAAGUGAUACAAAUAUUUUAAUGUGCAAUUUAUGUAAUUGCCGUCUGGAGUGGAAAAAAAAUUAUGUACUUGAAAAGCACAUUAAAUCUGAGGGACAUCAGGCUGCAAAAAAAAAAAAAAAAAAAAGGUUCACCGAGAAAUCGGAUGAAGGAAAAAAGUCGGUAAAACGGCAAGCAACGGUUUCUGGCAUAAUCGAAAACCAAAAGAAUUUGAAAAAACGAGUUUCAAUAACAUUGUUUGUGCACUCUACAUCACUAUGGCCAUGAACACGGCUAAAAAAUAUUUAUUGUAAUUUUAAGUAUUCAAUUUAUUGCACUCAUAAGUGCUAAAAAGUUGUUUGGAAACCUGCCAAGAUAGGCUAUCUUUGUAGUUGUGCUAGAUCUUUAUUUCUGAGUUUUUUAAUAAUUAAUAUGUGUAUUAUUUAAUGCUUUUUAAAAAUAUACUUUUCUUCAGUAAUAUAAAAUGAGAGAAUUUGCUAAAUCUUGUUUUUAAAAAUGCUACAAAAUGCUAAAAUUCAAAUUCAAAAUGGUAAAUGUUAUUAUUUUAAAUGCUAUAAAUCACCAUCUCUAAUAAUAAUACAUUUCUCUGAGCAAAAAAUAACUUCAUGAAACUUUUCCCACAGUUUACAUUUACAGACACUCCCUUGAAUAGUGUAAACAUGUGGUUUGACUGUAUUUAUACAUUUACUUAUACUUUCUCAUUUCAUGGCAUUAUUGUACAUAGAUUUAACAUUACUUAUAUCAAGAGUAAUAUGGCAUUUUUUGUGUACAUAUGCAUGUGCCAUUCUAAAAAAUAAUUUCUAAUGCAGUGUUUCGUUUCAAAAUAGUAUGAAAUUGUCUCUAAGAGUUUUUUUGUGUAAUUGUAUAAUUUGUAGGGUUAGGCAACCAAAUCAAUUUUCCAUUAAUAUGAAAUGUUUUGCAAAACAACUAUUUACAAAUUAGAGAGGAAAUGGAGAUACUUAUUUUAGAACCCUAGAUAUUCACCUACAGUAGAACCCCUUUUUUACACUAUUGAAAGGGGUGUCUGAAAAUGUUGUGACAUGCGAGAAAGUGUAAAAUAAGGGAAAUGUAUGAAAAAUCCUUUUUUCUCUCGGAGAACUGUGAUAUUAUAUUACCUAAACAUAUUGUAUCCUGAUAUACACACAAUAAUUCAUUAUUAGGUUCUGAAGCAAAUAUAAAAAAAAUAAUUAUACACUUUAGUCCCAUAUUUACAUUCUGUAGAGUGUAUAGGUAAGCAUAAAGUCUAUGUACAUACUUUCAUACUUAAAUUUUCAUUUCAUAAUAUGAUAUUUACAGGUUAAUAAUAUUACCAAUAAUGUCAUAAAACAUAAGGAAAGUACUAAAGUAAAAGUUAUAUUUUUCAAAGGACAAAAAA